CCCGCAUCGUUACACGUGUUUUGCUGGAGGAAGACAAAAUAAAAUAUUUAUUGACAAAUUAAACUAGCUACUACUAUUAAGUUAAUGUUAUUAUUUGCAAGUUGUAAUUUAAUUUAAAUUGCCCCUGCUGUGUAGAGUAGCCCAUGCUGGAGGAAGAAGAUACCACGAUGCCUACUUCCAGCCAAGAUGACGCAACUAUCGUCCAGGAAGAGCAGUUUCUUAAUCCUGACGUAAAGUUUUCUCACUUGUAUUUUUUUUACAUUUUUCUCAGAUAAUUGGUCAAAUUUGCAAACACCUCGCCACCCGGGACAUAAAGACAUGCCGACUUGUAUCGUCCUCUUGGCACUACGGGUCCACCCCUGUUCUAAAAUCCAGGACAAGAACAACCCUCGAACUUUCACCAAUUUAUGACGAGCAUGGCGACCCGUCAGAAGGUUUGGAAGUUUCGGAGGUCUUGGAAAAGCUGAAAUUCCGUCCUGCCAAUAUCUUCAUAACAAUUCCAUACACCGAGGACGAAAAUCUUGCUCCCCUCGAUUACUCCAGAUUUCCUCCAGUCAACAAUUUUAAGUGAAUUACUGUCCAGUUUCCGGUGUCCUUCUCCACUAUCGAGAAUCACUUCUAUGAUCAGAAGGAAUUAUGCACAAAACUGAUCUUGUCGGCGGUCAAGUCGCUAGAAGAAUUAAAAUUGGAUGGGACCGAGGAGGAAGACUGGGGGGAAGAGAUUUCCCAAGAUUUCCCCUCCCUGGGUGGCACCGUCUUCCCAAAACUGGUCAAGUUAGACGUCAAUCAUCGCCUUCAUCCCGACGUUGCCAUUACAAGAUUUGGACAAGCUGUGACGACAUCCUCUCCAAAUCUGAAAUAUCUGUCGACAAUGUGCGACAACAUGGUGCAAAUUUUAAGGGUGGAAUUUUAAGGGUGGAACAUUACCAAGUUGGCCACAAUCCCUCACUUGCUUAGAGUUGAACGGAAAUUUAACCACCGAUGGAAUGGAACAUCUACUCAAAAUUCCUGUCACUUUGAAAAAAACUUACUGUUGGGGGUUCAUCCACUGACGUUGAAGAAACUACCCAUCGCGUCGAGGAAGUUCCCACAAUUUUGUACAAAUUCCUAAAGAAACACGCCCCCACCUUGCAAGAACUUCGGGUCUACGUGAAAUUCGUCACCAGUUGGCGCAUGCUUACAUGGAAAUUUCCAAUAUUUCCAGCCUUGAAAAAACUUCACGUCGAGUAUGGUGGCCUGGCAAUAGUCGAGUUCGAGACCAACAUUGCAGAAUAUUUUCGACCGAUUGAUUACGCCGUGGGUUUCCCAGUUUUGGAAGUCUUGCAAAUUUUCGGUGAGUCUGUCAGGGGGGACUCAUUCCUUCCUGAUAAUCGUCAAGUUGUCGAGUCUGUGAGGGAGGUUGAUGUCAGAACUUUUAAUCAUGAGGAAAUUACUGAAAUGACAGAAAUGGAUACGGAGACCUUGUACGAUAUUAGAGGUCAGGCUGGGGUGUAUGUCCGACUUUUGGAUAUUUUUCCUAAUGCGAGAGAUUGUGUUAUGGCUUGUUUAAGGAAAUUACUUGACAUUCAGGAAUAAUUGGUGAAAGUACAUAUUAAUAGUUCCAACAUAUGUUAUCUCUUAAAAUGAUUGUGGGCGCAGGAAUUGUAAUUGUUUAUUGAUAUUCAAAUUAUGGAUUACCAAAUGCGAAUGAAUUGCUAAUAUUUUCUCGUAAAAUAAAUAUAAAAAAAUGU